AACGAACGCUGGCGGCGUGGAUAAGACAUGCAAGUCGAACGGGAUUAUUUUUGUAGCAAUACAGAGAUAAUUCAGUGGCGAACGGGUGCGUAACACGUGGGCAAUCUGCCGAAAAGUGGGGGAUAGCUCGCCGAAAGGCGAAUUAAUACCGCAUGUGGUGAGGGACGACAUCUUCCUGAAUCCAAAGCCGGGGUAACCUGGCGCUUUUUGAGGAGCCCGCGGCCUAUCAGCUAGUUGGUGAGGUAACGGCUCACCAAGGCUAUGACGGGUAGCUGGUCUGAGAGGACGACCAGUCACACUGGAACUGAGACACGGUCCAGACACCUACGGGUGGCAGCAGUCGAGAAUUUUUCUCAAUGGGGAAACCCUGAAGGAGCGACGCCGCGUGGAGGAUGAAGGC
rnacentral:rRNA from 1 species